GACGAACGCUGGCGGCGUGCCUAACACAUGCAAGUCAAAGGGAAGCAACUUCGGUUGUAAGUACUUGGCGCAAGGGUGAGUAAUGUAUAGGUAAUCUGCCCUUUGGACUGGGAUAACCCCGAGAAAUCGGGGACAAUACCAGAUGAUGCAGCGGGACCGCAUGGUUGUUCUGCCAAAGAUUUAUCGCCAAAGGAUGAACCUAUAUCCCAUCAGGUAGUUGGUAAGGUAACGGCUUACCAAGCCUACGACGGGUAGCUGGUCUGAGAGGAUGAUCAGCCACAUUGGAACUGAGACACGGUCCAGACUCCUACGGGAGGCUG
rnacentral:rRNA from 1 species